GGAUGUACUGGAAGGCCUUCAGCCUCACCCAAAUUUGAAAAGCUUAAAGAUAGUAUUUUUCGAAGGUGAGAAUUUCCCUUCAUGGCUAUUGGGGAGUGAUAAUAUUAGGGGUGGCUUGUUACUUUUUGAUCAUCUAUUGGAGAUUCGCUUAAGCUACUGUUCGAAGUGUAAAAAACUUCCUACACUUGGACAUUUACCCAGUCUCAAAGUUCUUGAAAUACGGGGAAUGGAUAACGUGAGAUGCAUAGGAACUGAAUUUUACGGCAGUUAUAAUGGUGAGGGAUCGAGUAAUAGUAGAGGUGGCAGUGGCAGCACCGUGUUGUUCCCAGCUUUGGAAGAACUUGUUUUGGGUGGCAUGCGUAAUCUAGAAGAAUGGAAUGACGUGACGGAACCAGCAGCAGAAUUAGGAAUGAUAUUUCCUCGCCUUGAGUGUUUGGAGGUUUGGAGAUGCGAGAAACUAACAAGUGCUCCACAUCAUUUUCCGUCUCUUAAGGAAUUAUAUAUUUCCAACAUCAGAGGCCCGGCAUUUGAACAGCUUAUUAGCGAGCUUACCACACUCACGUCCCUCCAUAUUUCAGAAAUUUCAGAACUUGCUUGUCUGCCAGAGCAUUUUUUGCAAAAAAAAUAGGAGUCUCGUGGAUUUGACCAUAAGUUGUUGUGCUGAUUUGGAGUCAAUCUUGCCACAUGGCCAUGUAUGGCCCAUCUGCACCUCUCUCCGAUCACUCUUUAUAGAUGGCUGUGACGAACUGAGUACAUUCCCAGAUGCACUGCACAACCUUCAUUGCCUUGAGGAUAUUGAGGUAAAAUGGUGUCGUAACCUGAGGUCCUUUCCAAGUAUACAAGGUAUCGCAUCCUUUCUUCAACGCUUGUGGUUAUGCUGUAGUGAUGAAGCUCUACCACCUGGGCUACAAUCCUGUGUGUCUCUUCAACAUUUGUUUAUAGACGAUUGGCCUCAUCUGAUAUCAAUUCCAGAUCUACGAAAUUUGCAGUCUCUUACCGAUUUACAAAUUUACCAUUGCCCUAAUCUGAUAUCGAUUCCAGAUCCAAAAGAAUUGCCUUCUCUUACCCAAUUAAAAAUUUGGGAUUGUUCUAAAUUGAAAUCGAUUCCAGAUCUAAAAGAAUUGCCUUCUCUUACCCAAUUAAAAAUUUGGGAUUGUUCUAAAUUGAAAUCGAUUCCAGAUCUGCCUUCUCUUACUCUACUGAAAAUUUCUGGUUGUCCUAAUCUGAUAUCGAUUCCAGAUAUGCGUGAAUUGCCUUCUCUUACCCAUUUAGAAAUUAGCGAUUGCCAAAAGUCGAGGUGUGUGCCAGACGGAUUAGACUUCACCCGCUUGAAGUGUUUGCGGAUCGGUGGGUUUUGUAAGGAAUUAAAUUCUUUCCCCAGUUUCAAUUUCAACGAACGCUCACAUGCGCCCCUUGAAGAAUUAUACCUGUAUGGGUGGGCUAGUCUCAACACUCUACCGGAGGAAAUUCAAUUCUUCACUGCCGUCAAAAUUCUUGACAUAUCUAAAUUUGAUGAAAUGGUCUCUUUGCCUGACUGGUUAGGCAACCUUUCUUCUAUUCAAGAGCUAUAUAUUCACAAUUGCAAGAACAUGAUGUAUCUGCCCACAACACAAGCCAUGCGACGCCUCAUCAAACUAGAACAACUAUCCAUUCAUGAAUGCCCCAAAUUGAAGGAAAGAUGUGCAGAAGGGAGCGGCGCAGAGUGGUCUAAGAUUGCCCAUAUUCCGAAAUUUUCUUCUAAUGGUUACGGAAACUGCAAAGCAUUUAUUGUCCCCAUCUAAAGGAAGGAUGUGUGAAGGGAAAGAGCCAGGUGGUCCUAAAUUGGCAUGAAGAAAAUAAGUUUGCCAAAUGUUAUGGAUAUACCUGGCCACAAUAUAUAAAAUGGAAAAGGAAGGUUCUUUUCAAGACCUGCUUAUUGUAAUUAUGAUUGCAAAAAGCUGAUAUAAUGCCUCACCAUAUAGUGGAAAUUGUAGAUUUUUGUUGUCCCCCAUUAAAGGGAUAUGUGCCAAGGGAAAACUGAAAAGAGCCAGGGUGGUCCAAGAUUGUCCAAAUAUAAUACAAAUAGAAAGAUUGUUCAUAUUCUGUCAUAGAAAUCCACUGGUAAGUCAAUCUAAAACAGACUUCCUUCCAUUCCCUUUUUCAACAUUUUUUUUUUUUUUUUUCAUAUUACUAAAAUAUCAGCUUAUCUUUCCUAACAUAUUCCACUUCCUUGAAGUUAGUCACAAAUUUGGGAAUGAUGUGUCUGCAGGGAUAGUUUCAAGUACUCAUUUUUUAGCCGGGAGAAUUGAGAUCUACUUAAGCACAAAUAAUUGCAGGGCUAUUUUGUAGUUAUUUUCAAUUGGGAGGAUAGUUCAAAUCUAUUUGGAACAAGUCAAGAAUGUUGUUCCUGACAAAGAAAGCCUCGUGUUGACUGGUGUUGCUUGAAAUCCCUCUCCAUUUGCACGGAUGGUAGGACCCACUUUGUGAGAUCUUUUCUAGUUGUUAUUGUUGUAAUCCAAGAAUGGCUUUUUUUAUGUCUUUGUAGACUCUAGCAUUUGUUCUAGAAAGAUUGUUGUAAACACAUUAUUCUAUAGUGGAAGAUUUUACUGGACUAGGUCUCGUGGUUUUUCCCUUCCCAUUGAAGGGUUUUCCACGUAAAAAUUUGGUAUCUUGA